rnacentral:lncRNA from 1 species
GCGGGAAUAACAUCCUUCAUUCUAAAUGUCCCAAAGGUUGAUCUUCAUUGAUUGGCAUGGGGGGUGGGGGUGCGCAGAACAAGGUGGAGUUAACCUUGCUUGAACUGUUGGAUCAGUAGAGAAAAUCUAGGGGAUUACCAGUGAAGGGGAGAUGGAUACUAGAGGAGCAAAAAGGAUGUUUUCAUGUUGUCAAGAAGAGCAGAAAUAAGCCAGGCGCAGUAGCACAUGCCUGUAAUCCCAGCAGCUUGGGAGGCUGAGGCAGGAGGAUCGCAAAAGAUCGUCAAAAAAGACUCACCAAAAAGUUAGGCGCUACGCUAUGCAACUCAAGUGAGACCCUGUCUUUAAAUAAAAUACAAAAUAGGGCUGGGUGGGGCUGGGGUUGUGGCUCAGUGGCAGAGCACUUGCCUCACACGUGAGGCACUGGGUUCUGUCCUCAGCACCACAUAAAAAUAAGUAAACAAAAUGAAGAUAUUAAAAAAAAAAUAGGGCUGGGACAUGUGGCCCAGUGGUCAAAUGCCCCUGAAUUUAAUCCCCAGUACCAAAAAGAAGGAGGAGGAGGAGGAGGAGGAUGAGGAUGGGUGAUGAGCUUGCUUCAGGUUUCUGAGUCAGCUCAGUCUGAGGCUCCAGGAGAGACAGGAGAACUAGAUUGGCUAUGUUUGUUUGGGGACUCAGCCUAGUUUGAAGGGAACCCAACCACAGGGCUUCUGAAGCAAGCUUUUCUCAGAUCUCAGAUUUCUUUUUUUUUGGGGGGUGGGGGGUGGGUACCAGGGAUUGAACUCAGGGGCACUCAACCAUUGAGCCACAUCCCCAGCCCAAUUUUGUAUUUUAUUAGAACUGGGUCUCACUGAGUUGCUUAACCCCUCACUGUUGCUGAGAUUGGCUUGAACCUGAGAUCCUUCUGUCUCAGCCUCCCAAACUGCUGGGAUUAAGGGCGUGUGCCAUCACGACCAGCUCAGGUCUCAGAUUUCUUUGACCACUUAAUUUGACGUACCUGGAAUUGAUGGAUGAUACUAGAGAGUCCUGGAGCACACCCAGACAGACCUGGGGAGAUCACAGUGUUUUGAAGUAGAUUUUGGAACCAUAUUUAAAAGAGUUGAGAUGAGGACAUAAAAUAAGAGACAUGAAAUAAGUUCAAAGUAUUAUGAUAAAACGGUAGAAGGAAAAGCAACAAAUAAAUACUUGAGGGAAAAUCCUUAUGUCAGUUCAGAGCCAGAGCCAGGUGUGUCUCCUUCUGCUCAAGGUCCCCUUAGGAGAUAGAUACUAUGUUCCCCAUUUUGCAGGGAAGAAAAUGAAGUUCAAAAAGGUCAUUUCAUCAUACCAAGAGCUCAUUGAUUUUUUUUUUUGUUGUUGUUGGUACCAGGGAUUAAAAUCAGGGGUGCUUAACCUCUGAGCUUCAUCCCCCACCUUUUUAUUUUUUAAUUUUGAGACAGGAUCUCCUUAAGUUUCAUGGGUCCUUGAUGACUUGCUGAGGCUGGCUUUGAACUUGCAAUCCUUUGGUUUCAGCCUCCCCAGCUACUGGGAUUACAGGCAUGCACCACCACCACACCUGGUUUUGCCAAUUCUGCUCUAUUCAUGGAGAAAAAGAAGAACCAGGACGAUCUUCCAGCUCAUUCACAAAUCUCGAAUUCCCUUCAUUUCACCAGUUAAAAAACACCUAACAUCCUUUAUGCUAGUUUCUGACCACCAUAGAUUACAAUAGUCUAAAUAUAAACUGUUUGGAUUUUAAAAAGUGGUUGACACAUAAAUAUAUAUCACACUUUCCAUGCAGAGUAUGUUUUUCCUUUCCUUUCCUUUUGGGGUGCUGAGAAUGGAACCCAGAGCCCUGUGCAUGCUAGCCAAGUGCUCUAUCACUGAACUAUAUCCAGCCCCGCAAUGCUAUUUUAUUUUUUUUUAUUAGAACAUUAUAGUUAUACAUAAUAGUUGGGUUCAUUUUGACAAAAAUCAUACAUGUGUGGAAUUUGAUUUACUCUAAUUGGUCCCUGGUGCCUCCUCUUUCCCUUUCCUUCUCUGUCCCCCAGUUCUCCUCUACUGAUCUCCCUUUUGCUCAUUUAUUUAUUUAUUUUUGAUUGGUGCUUUAUGCAUAUACAUAAAGGUGGAAUUCACUGUGAUAUAUUUAUAUAUGCACAUAAUGCUAAGUAUUUUAAUCAAGUUUCAGAUAAUAACCCCUGUGAAUAAUUGACCUACACACUACUGCUUGUUGUAUUCCACUGUGCACCUUAGAACCCUCUGGGUUUGGUAAGCACCAUUGUAUUCUCAGAUUUUUUUUUUUUUUUACUUUAAACUUUUGCUUGUCUCAUCUCAGUGUAUGUCACAGUAUGACCUGCAACCCGCCCCCCCCCCCAUAUACCAUGGCCAGAAAGUCUGGAAAUGCUUUCCAUUGCUGCUUCCAGACUCCUUCA